UACGUAGGGGGCUAGCGUUGUCCGGAAUCAUUGGGCGUAAAGCGCGUGUAGGCGGUCCGGUAAGUCCGCUGUGAAAGUCGGGGGCUCAACCCUCGGAUGCCGGUGGAUACUGUCGGGCUAGAGUGCGGAAGAGGCGAGUGGAAUUCCUGGUGUAGCGGUGAAAUGCGCAGAUAUCAGGAGGAACACCCGUGGCGAAAGCGGCUCUCUGGGACGGUACUGACGCUGAGACGCGAAAGCGUGGGGAGCAAACAGG
rnacentral:rRNA from 1 species